ensembl:lncRNA
GCAGCAUCCCCUGCAGGAGGUGUAUUAGAGGGCACCAUACAGCGAGCUGCUGUAUCGCUAGUUAGCUCUGUUCCAGUGUGCACAGAAUAUUUUAAAGCACUCUUUCUUUUUUACCUUUUUAGGCUAUCCAGGCUUCACAGAGUACUGAAAGGUCUGAAAUGAGUGGAGAAGAAGCUGGGUGUUGCAGCAAGGCGAUCACAGAAUCAGUAAGGUUGGAAAGACCUCGAAGAUCAUCUGGUCCAACCAUCUGCCUGCCACCACUACUGCCCACUGAACCACAUCCCUAAGCACACAGCACAUCUGCCCUUCCCUUAAACAUCUCCAGGGGUGACUCCACCACUUCCCUGGGCGCCCCAUUCCAGUGCCUUACCGCUCUUCCUGAGAAGAAAUUUUUCUUAAUAUCCAAUCUGAGUAAAGUACAAACACAUCUGGAGUAAACACUGCUACACCCCUCUACACCCCUUUCUGACUGGGUGGAAUGGAAAUGGGGGUUCUGGAAAAAUAAAACGAGCAAAGGAAUUGUUUUCUACAAAGUGGCUCUCGCUAGGGAAGAACAAAGUGAAGCCGGUCCUGCAUCGCCAGUUUGCCUUCGUCAGACGGAGAUUUCUGCCCAUGGACAAUGGAGACGGAGAGCGCAGAACAUGGAGCGAAGCCACCUUUUGUUCCAGGCCAGCAGCACGAAUUCCUGGCCUCGUCCUCUUCAGUUCACGAGGAGGAUGGAGGUGUCUACAGCUUCUUCUGUCCAUGGAGCAGCCAGCACGGUCCCGGGGAGGAACCCGACUGCGUGUCCCCAGGGGAGGACUCCUCACCUGUCCCCGGGACAGCCUGCGGGCACCAGCCGGGUGGCGUCAGCCUCACAGAGGGUCACAUGUGGCACAGAGGCGGCAGCAGAAAUGAGAAUGAAUCGCCCAGAAGUGAUCAAGUGUUGGCUUUGAAUGCACAUUCUCAGGCAAAGCACAGGCGUGUGCUCGAGGAGAGUGAAAUGGACGCUGCAUGGCAGCUCGAGUCGCUCUGGGCAGCGCUGAGGACUGAGCAGGGCAUCCUGGGCGGGGAGGAAGAUGAGGAUGAUGUCUUCCUUCCUUCUCCUGGGCAAACGGCAACGUGGCCCGGCUGGCAGGGCUUCUGAAUUCUUUGGGAAGGGCAACAGCAGCCCGAGGCAAUGCAGGCUCGCGCCCCGCGCUGUGAGCAGCGUGGUCUGGCCGCCUGCCCUGCGCCGGGGCGCUUCCCAGGGCCGCGGCAGCGAUGGGACCAGGCGCCAGCGCCGAGACGGGGCCGCAGCCGGCCCACUGCUGGCACAUGGUUUACAAGCAGCAGCCCCAAGGCAUCCCUGUAAUUCGGGAAGGAAAGGUGCCUUUGUUUUGAUGUUGUGUUUUGUUAAGAGCCUCGUAAAGCGUGGAUGUUUCCAAGCGUGUGGCUCAGAGACACAAGUCCGUGGUGCUCUGGAGGUGCCGCUGGAGCCCAUCCCUCCCCAUGCUGGGGCUGAACAGCACGCACGGGGCUGCGGGCCGGCAUUUCCCUGAGUCAAAGCAGCACUGCUGUGUCAGCCUGUGGGCUGUCAGGGCAGAAAUUCUGCCCUUACAUCUCCCCCCUUUGCUUUCCUCCUCCGGCUCUCGGCCUGCCGUGGGCCAGGGCAGCAGAGCACAGCCCAGCCCUCGGCGAGGAGCCGCGGAGCUGCCCCGCUGCUGGCGGCGUGGGUCCAAGGGCAGGACGUUCCCAGCGGCCACAGGGGGCCGGGGGAAGAAAAGAAUUUGCUGUUAAAUAAUAAAGCUUUUGUGCAUGAGUGUUUGCCUGAAGCGUGCUCUGAAGUGUCCUUUGAGUUUUUCUGGCAUCCCCAAAGGUUAGCAGCAGUGUGUGGCCCCCGUCCAGCCUGGAAAUGCCUCUCGGGGCUGCGGCUGGUGGGCUCGGGCCGGGCCCUCACUGUGCUGCUCCGUCCCCUGAGCGAGAAGCGCC